AUGCCACAUUCCAACUCAACUGAACCUUUAAACGAAUGUAGCCCUAGCCUCUAUUUGACUUCAACUACAAGAGAGAUGCCAAGCUGAGACCAGUUAAGCCACAGAACUCUUUUACCUUCGUUAACUCACACUUGCACCCAACUGAAGUGAAACCAGCAACCAUUUAACAGCAAACAGUAGCAGCAGCAUGCACCAAAAGAGAAUGGAAAGUGAAAAGAACACAACAGAUCAUUUUAAAAGUAGUGUGUCAAUUGCCUGGUUCUCCACUGACAGCUAAAAUUAAACAAAAAAGUGAAUUCCGUUCUACAGUGUGAACAUCUUAUGGGAACACUAGAGGAUAUCCAUAGACAGCAGGAAAAAAACAGCAAAAUAGAUAUUUUGACUCACAGAAAAUGAAUGUUUGCAAAGAUUCACCAAGAAAUAAAGUCAACCAAAAAAGCAAAGUCAUGAAAAAGAAAUGCAAAUCUCCACAAAAGGCAGCUUUUCAGGGCUAUUCCUGUCUGCACGCCCUCUGAAUAACCAUCUCAAAACAUGUUCAAGAAGUAUAUUUUGUUUUUCAUCCAGUGACUACCAAAUGGAGGAAUUAUCGUCUUGAAGGGGAACGUAUCAAUCACUUAAGGAAACUAGAUGGGAGACUGAAGGUGGCAAAAGGAGAGGCAUAGCAAAUGGAAGAAGGUGUCCUAGAGUCACUCUUAAACUUUGAGAAGUUUGAGAUAUUAGGUUGGUGCAAGAGUAAUUGCAGGUUUUACCAUUACUUUUAAGAGCACAAGAACCAAACAUAUGAAUAUUUACACUAAAAAAUAAACUAGAGUUGCUUCA